rnacentral:rRNA from 2 species
UCAGUUUGAUUCUGACUGAAAAAUUAACCUUUAGCCAACCAACAUACAUGUAAAAUAUCAUAUCCCCGCACUCACCACUAUCUAGAAGAUUUAAUUCAUGCAUCAAGAUUCUCCCUAAUGCAAUAGAGCGCCACAGUAGAUAACACUUUUCAAUUUGAGAAAACAAGAAAAGAGUAUGGCCUAAGGGCUGGCAAAAUUCGUGCCAGCUGCCGCGGUUAGACGAUAAGCCCAAGUUAAUAUAAUAUAAACUAAAUUAAUGAUAGAUUAAAUAAUAACAAAAGUCUAAUUUUAAAAAUUCCUGACUCAUAUCUAUCUAAUAAUAAUGAAAUCAUGAACUAAAACAUGGAUUAGAUACCCAUCUAUUCAUGACAUAAACCAAAGUUGAAUAUUACGAACAAUAGUUUAAAAUUCAAAGAUUUUGGCGGUGUCUUAUAAAACCAGGGGAACCUGUCUCAUAACUCGAUAAUCCACGCAUAUGCAACCUCCUCUUGAUACUCAGCAUGUGUACUGCCGUUGUAAGCAUACCUCUAAAAGAACAAGUAUGCCGCUAUGAUUAACCCAACUCAUAUACAUCAGGUCAAAGUGCAGCCAAUAAGGAGGUGGUGAUGGGUUACAACCCUAAAACAGAGCAUCAACUAAGAAAUAAAAAAUCUUACGAAAGUGGACUUGGCCGUAAUCAAUUUACAAGUUAAAAAAAUGAAUAUAUAUCUAAGACAUGCACACAUCGCCCGUCACUCUAUCCUAAAGGUUAGAUAAGUCGUAACAAAGUAGGUGUAAUGGAAAUUGCGCCUGU